UACGGGGGGGGCAAGCGUUGUUCGGAAUUACUGGGCGUAAAGGGCUCGUAGGCGGCCAACUAAGUCAGACGUGAAAUCCCUCGGCUUAACCGGGGAACUGCGUCUGAUACUGGAUGGCUUGAGGUUGGGAGAGGGAUGCGGAAUUCCAGGUGUAGCGGUGAAAUGCGUAGAUAUCUGGAGGAACACCGGUGGCGAAGGCGGCAUCCUGGACCGGCAUUGACGCUGAGGAGCGAAAGCCAGGGGAGCAAACGGGG
rnacentral:rRNA from 1 species